AACGAACGCUGGCGGCAUGCCUAACACAUGCAAGUAGAACGAGACCUUCGGGUCUAGUGGCGCACGGGUGCGUAACGCGUGGGAAUCUGCCCUUGGGUUCGGAAUAACUCGCCGAAAGGCGUGCUAAUACCGGAUGAUGUCGUAAGACCAAAGAUUUAUCGCCCAAGGAUGAGCCCGCGUAAGAUUAGGUAGUUGGUGAGGUAAAGGCUCACCAAGCCGACGAUCUUUAGCUGGUCUGAGAGGAUGAUCAGCCACACUGGAACUGAGACACGGCCCAGACUCCUACGUGAGGCAGCAGUGGGGAAUAUUGGACAAUGGGCGAAAGCCUGAUCCAGCAAUGCCGCGUGAGUGAUGAAGGCCUUAGGGUUGUAAAGCUCUUUUACCCGGGAUGAUAAUGACAGUACCGGGAGAAUAAGCCCCGGCUAACUCCGUGCCAGCCGCCGCCGUAA
rnacentral:rRNA from 1 species